GCUCAAAUUUGAAAUCUGGCUUCGGCCCGAGUUGUAAUUUGUAGAGGAUGCUUUUGGUGCGGUGCCUUCUGAGUUCCCUGGAACGGGACGCCAGAGAGGGUGAGAGCCCCGUAUAGUUGGACACCAAGCCUUUGUAAAGCUCCUUCGACGAGUCGAGUAGUUUGGGAAUGCUGCUCUAAAUGGGAGGUAUAUCUCUUCUAAAGCUAAAUAUUGGCCAGAGACCGAUAGCGCACAAGUAGAGUGAUCGAAAGAUGAAAAGCACUUUGAAAAGAGGGUUAAAUAGUACGUGAAAUUGUUGAAAGGGAAGGGCUUGUGACCAGACUUGUGCCGGGCUGAUCAUCCAGGGUUCUCCCUGGUGCACUCUGCCCGGCUCAGGCCAGCGUCGGUUCUGGUAGGGGGACAAAAGCUUAGGGAACGUGGCUCCUCCGGGAGUGUUAUAGCCCUUUGCUCAAUACC
rnacentral:rRNA from 1 species